rnacentral:rRNA from 1 species
GAUGAACGCUGGCGGCGUGCCUAAUACAUGCAAGUCGAGCGAACGGACGAGAAGCUUGCUUCUCUGAUGUUAGCGGCGGACGGGUGAGUAACACGUGGAUAACCUACCUAUAAGACUGGGAUAACUUCGGGAAACCGGAGCUAAUACCGGAUAAUAUUUUGAACCGCAUGGUUCAAAAGUGAAAGACGGUCUUGCUGUCACUUAUAGAUGGAUCCGCGCUGCAUUAGCUAGUUGGUAAGGUAACGGCUUACCAAGGCAACGAUGCAUAGCCGACCUGAGAGGGUGAUCGGCCACACUGGAACUGAGACACGGUCCAGACUCCUACGGGAGGCAGCAGUAGGGAAUCUUGCGCAAUGGGCGAAAGCCUGACGGAGCAACGCCGCGUGAGUGAUGAAGGUCUUCGGAUCGUAAAACUCUGUUAUUAGGGAAGAACAUAUGUGUAAGUAACUGUGCACAUCUUGACGGUACCUAAUCAGAAAGCCACGGCUAACUACGUG